rnacentral:lncRNA from 1 species
GGUGGCGAAGCAGAACUAAGGAAGAGAAGAGGAGAGGCACCAGCCAGAUUCCGCCAGGAGGGCGUGAAUCCGGGUGCAAGCCAGCACAGGUCCUGCCUUCUCCCGGCCAGUGUCAGCAGCGGGAGGGGUCACGCGGGAUCUCCGCGGGCAGAUCUGCGUGGGGAUCAGCCGGGAGCGGCAGGCAAGGAACUCCCCUGGAUCCGCCCAGGGCGGCUGGACCCUGCACGUCCUCGCUCCAAGCCAGCUUGGGAAAGAAGUUUCCCCCGGGAAGCCGCCGGACGGAUCCGGUGUCGGAGGCGACUCAGGUGCCGUAAACUGCAAACAAUUAUCCUGUCUUAAUACUACAAACAAAUCACUGUGGAAUUGAAGGGAACUUAAUUUACAGGUAAGAAUAUUUUCCUUAAUCAGUUGCUUUAUGGAUUUUUGAGUGUACCUAAUUAUUGCAGUGUGUGCUAGAAGAGUAUUGCCAGAGGCAGUGACUCAGGAUGAGAAGGUUGUCACAAAACUUCUGUAUUCACUGC